UACGUAGGGUGCAAGCGUUGUCCGGAAUUAUUGGGCGUAAAGAGCACGCAGGCGGUUUGGCAAGUCGGAUGUGAAAACCCGGAGCUCAACUCCGGACCUGCAUCCGAAACUGCCCGACUAGAGGUAGGUAGGGGAGAUCGGAAUUCCUGGUGUAGCGGUGAAAUGCGCAGAUAUCAGGAGGAACACCGGUGGCGAAGGCGGAUCUCUGGGCCUUACCUGACGCUGAGGAGCGAAAGCGUGGGUAGCGAACAGG
rnacentral:rRNA from 1 species